AGAGUUUGAUUCUGGCUCAGAACGAACGCUGGCGGCGUGGAUAAGACAUGCAAGUCGAACGGAUUUUCAACUGUAGCAAUACAGGUGGGAGUCAGUGGCGCAAGGGUGCGUAACACGUGGGCAACCUGCCCUGGAGUCUGGAAUAGCCCGCCGAAAGGCGGAUUAAUCCCGGAUGUGGCUACCGAAUGAUUAUUCGGGACGCUAAAGGUGGCGCAAGCUGCCGCUCCUGGAUGGGCCCGCGGCCUAUCAGCUAGUUGGUUGGGGUAACGGCCCACCAAGGCUAUGACGGGUAGCUGGUCUGAGAGGACGACCAGCCACACUGGAACUGAGACACGGUCCAGACACCUACGGGUGGCAGCAGUCGAGAAUUUUUCGCAAUGGGGGAAACCCUGACGGAGCGACGCCGCGUGGAGGAUGAAGGUCUUCGGAUUGUAAACUCCUGUCAUUGGUGAACAAAGCAUUGAGGUUAACUGCCUUGGUGCCUGCUAGUAGCCGAAGAGGAAGGGACGGCUAACUCUGUGCCAGCAGCCGCGGUAAUACAGAGGUCCCGAGCGUUGUUCGGAUUCAUUGGGCGUAAAGGGUGCGUAGGCGGUCUUCUAAGUUUGAUGUGAAAUCCCGGGGCUCAACCCUGGAAUUGCAUUGAAUACUGGAGGACUAGAGUACUGGAGAGGAAGCUGGAAUUUACGGUGUAGCAGUGAAAUGCGUAGAGAUCGUAAGGAAGACCAGUGGCGAAGGCGAGUUUCUGGACAGUAACUGACGCUGAGGCACGAAGGCCAGGGGAGCAAACGGGAUUAGAUACCCCGGUAGUCCUGGCAGUAAACGGUGCGCGUUUGGUGUGGGAGGAAUCGACCCCUUCCGUGCCGGAGCUAACGCGUUAAACGCGCCGCCUGGGGAGUACGGUCGCAAGAUUAAAACUCAAAGAAAUUGACGGGGGCCCGCACAAGCGGUGGAGUAUGUGGCUUAAUUCGAUCCACGCGAAGAACCUUACCUAGGCUUGACAUGCAUCUCUAAGGCGGUGAAAGCCGUCGAGUAUAGCAAUAUACAAUUUGCACAGGUGCUGCAUGGCUGUCGUCAGCUCGUGUCGUGAGAUGUUGGGUUAAGUCCCGCAACGAGCGCAACCCUUGUGAUCUGUUGCCACCGGCCUUUUGGCCGAGCACUCUGAUCAGACUGCCCUGUGAAACGGGGAGGAAGGUGAGGAUGACGUCAAGUCAGCAUGGCCCUUACGCCUAGGGCUGCACACGUACUACAAUGCACAGUACAGAAGGAGCCGAGACCGCGAGGUGGAGGAAAUCACGAAAACUGUGCCCAAUUCGGAUCGCAGGCUGCAACUCGCCUGCGUGAAGCCGGAAUCGCUAGUAAUGGCGCAUCAGCUACGGCGCCGUGAAUACGUUCCCGGGCCUUGUACACACCGCCCGUCACAUCAUGGGAGUCGUUUGUACCCGAAGCCGUCCGUGAGGGCGUCUAAGGUGUGAGCGGUAACUGGGAUGAAGUCGUAACAAGGUA
rnacentral:rRNA from 1 species